rnacentral:sRNA from 2 species
CCAUAUCUACUUUCUUGCAAACAAGGUGGUUCUAUCUUCUAGAAUUCCUUCUGUAUGUUGGCUGGUGUGGUACAGCAUGUGCUAAACCAUUACAUGCAUGUUACCCAUCAGCGAGCCUGGCAAUCCAUCGUGGGCCACCGUAUUGUUGGCUCUCUAGAAUAGACACCUGUCAUUUCGUUUCAAUAUAGCUCCUGAGAGAUAUCAGCGCAAUGAAUCUCUAUAGCAAGCAUGUCAGUGAGCAGCCUCAUCAAUCCACUAUUGCACCAAAAACAAGAAGAGUUCAUCAAACGGAUGGAAUUGGUGGAUAUAAUUAAUCACAUCAAUAAAAUUGUAAAAUAAGAUAUGAAAACUCAAAUGUGCUUGGAUGUACGGAGGACCAUCUCAAAAGUUCUUUCUCA